UGGUCGGAAGAGGUACGGUGGGACGUGCCUCAAGAAUUGAUCAGGAUUUACCGCUCUUAUGGGCGCGCAUCACGGCCCCGGUGAUGGCGAG
rfam:Sulfitobacter sp. CB2047 contig_10, whole genome shotgun sequence.